GACGAACGCUGGCGGCGUGCUUAACACAUGCAAGUCGAACGGAAAGGCCCUGCUUGCAGGGUACUCGAGUGGCGAACGGGUGAGUAACACGUGGGUGAUCUGCCCUGCACUUCGGGAUAAGCCUGGGAAACUGGGUCUAAUACCGGAUAGGAGCCAUUUUUAGUGUGAUGGUUGGAAAGUUUUUUCGGUGUAGGAUGAGCUCGCGGCCUAUCAGCUUGUUGGUGGGGUAAUGGCCUACCAAGGCGGCGACGGGUAGCCGGCCUGAGAGGGUGGACGGCCACAUUGGGACUGGGAUACGGCCCAGACUCCUACGGGAGGCAGCAGUGGGGGAUAUUGCACAAUGGGCGCAAGCCUGAUGCAGCGACGCCGCGUGGGGGAUGACGGCCUUCGGGUUGUAAACUCCUUUCGCUAGGGACGAAGCUUUUUGUGACGGUACCUAGAUAAGAAGCACCGGCUAACUACGUG
rnacentral:rRNA from 1 species